AUGUUUGUUAACUGAAUGAAUCGCCCCUGGUUGUUCCGAAACAGACCCUCCUGGGCCGUGUGGUGAGCAGCUCCGCAUCUGUGUUCCCCAGUGUGGCUGCGGGUAGGGGAGGGCUGCAGUGGGGGCCGGACUGUGGGGGACAUAUUCUCUGGCCUUGGGGGACAGGUUAGGGGACAUGAGACAGCUGCACAAUAGUCUCCCCCAGUGAGUCACUGGGGGGAAAUAGCAGAGAUAGAUUGGCUGGGGCAGCUGCUCCUGCUGGGGAGGGGUCAGGGCCUUCAUGUUCCCCCAGAUCCCCUGAGACCCCCGGGGUGGGGCAGACAGCACCCAGGCCUGAGCCAAAGCUCCCUGCCAGCCCUUGUAGAUGAGCGGGCUUGUUGGGAUGAACAUGACCAUGAUUGUGCAAGAGAGCUGAGGGAGGUCCCAGCCGGUGUGCACUGGAGAACGCCGGCUCCCCCUCCCCUGCUUUGGGGUCCUUGCCCCUCCAUGGGUCUCCAGACUCGGCUCUGUCCCUGGGGCUCCCCGUUCUCCCUCCUGCAGGCCGUGCGCUUAUCUCCGAGACUGUGGAUCCCGGUCUCCCGCGCUGUGUCCCCCCCAUCCUUGCUGCGCGGCUGCCUCCUGUCUCUCCCUCCCCCUCCCCUUCUCCUCGGCUCUGUCCUUGUCCUAGCUUGCCCUGGGAGGACGGACAAGCAGGGGCUGGGCCCGAGCGCCACCCCCGGCCCCCCGGGGAUGGGGCCAUCUUUCCGAGGAGCCUGAUGGGGCUUCUCUGCCAGGAAAGGGGGGGCUAAGGGGAGGAUCGGCAGGGGGCAGGGGCCGCUCCCUCCCUUCUUCCCUCCGCACACCCGCUGACGCUUUGGGCUAAAAACACCCGAGGGGGCCGCCGGGGGAGUAUCGCCUUCCCCGGCCCGAGGCUAAAGGGGCUGAGCGGGCGCGGCCGCAGGCAGACGCCAGAGACACCAUGAUCUUCCCAGAGGCCGCGCAGUUUGUGGUCAAUUAUUUGCUGAACCGGAGGCCCCGGGCGACGCCCCCGCACCGCCUGGACCAGGAACUCUGCUUCUGGGGAGUGCGAGGGCCCCCUCCCCCCGAGCCGGCCGCCCGCCGCAGCCUGGGCGACUUCUGGCUGAGCCCCCAGCGCCGCUGGCCGCCGGGGGCCUCGUGGCGCUGGCCCAGCCGCCGCCUGCUGCUCUUGCCCCCGGCUACCGGGCUGGGCGACGUGCCCUCGGCGCGCUGGCCGGGCUGCUUCUCCGCGCGCCCCAACCUCGUGUGGAAGCACCGCUGGCAGAGUCUCAAUCACGAAUUUCUGGGCAGAAGGAUGAGACGCCUGAUGCCCCUGUACCUGUGACGCCCGAGGGCAGGAUUAAGAAGAUUGAAGCCUCCUAUCAAGAGUCUCCCCAUCUCUCCUUCUCCAUGUCUCCAGUUCUCUCUACAACUGCGUCUUCUCCUUUGCCCUUGCCACAGGACAAGGUGACUGUCCUUUGAUCCCACCCCCCUUUUUCUCCUCUGGGAGUCUGUCCUGUCAGCCAUUUCUCCCUUUCUCACAUUGUUCCCCCUCUAGAAUGGAAGCUCCUGAAGGGCAGGAACUGUUUCAAUUUUGUCUUUAUGUCUCCAGUGCCUGGCUCCGGGUGGGUAUUCAAUAAAGAUUUGUUGAUUGAUUGAAUUUUUUUAUUUAUUGACUCUUUCCUUAAUGCUUACAAACUGGUCUCCUUUCUCUUUAAAGAUCCUCCACCACCGUGUUUUUUCAAACAAUCAUCCUAUUUUGUAGAGCAUACAUUUUCAGCUAGAGGUCAUCCAAUCUAGUCCAUUCUCAGAGCUCUUGCCCAAAGGCCACACAAGUAUCAAGUGGCAGAAUUAGGUUCUGAACCCAGGUCCUCUGACUCAAUCUUUCUGCUGUCCCAAGCUUCUUUCCCUCCUCACUUUCACAGCUAAUC
ensembl:lncRNA